CUUUCGCCUGAAACAAACCCAGCAUCAUCAACCUCUGCUGUUAAUCAUAAUGUAAAUUUAACUAAUGUCAGACUGGAGGAGCCCACCCCAGCUCCUUCCACCUCUUACUCACCACAAGCUGAUUCUUUAAGAACACCAAGUACUGAGGCAGCUCACAUAAUGCUAAGAGAUCAAGAACCAUCAUUGUCGUCGCAUGUAGAUCCAACAAAGGUGUAUAGAAAGGAUCCAUAUCCCGAGGAAAUGAUGAGGCAGAACCAUGUUUUGAAACAGCCAGCCGUUAGUCACCCAGGGCACAGGCCAGACAAAGAGCCUAAUCUGACCUAUGAACCCCAACUUCCAUACGUAGAGAAACAAGCCAGCAGAGACCUCGAGCAGCCCACAUACAGAUACGAGUCCUCAAGCUAUACGGACCAGUUUUCUCGAAACUAUGAUCAUCGUCUGCGAUACGAAGAUCGCGUCCCCAUGUAUGAAGAACAGUGGUCAUAUUAUGAUGACAAACAGCCCUACCCAUCUCGGCCACCUUUUGAUAAUCAGCACUCUCGAGACCUUGACUCCAGACAGCAUCCCGAAGAGUCCUCAGAACGAGGGUACUUUCCACGUUUUGAAGAGCCAGCCCCUCUGUCUUACGACAGCAGACCACGUUACGAACAGGCACCUAGAGCAUCCGCCCUGCGGCACGAAGAGCAGCCAGCUCCUGGGUAUGACACACAUGGUAGACUCAGACCGGAAGCCCAGCCCCACCCUUCAGCAGGGCCCAAGCCCGCAGAGUCCAAGCAGUAUUUUGAGCAAUAUUCACGCAGUUACGAGCAAGUACCACCCCAAGGAUUUACCUCUAGAGCAGGUCAUUUUGAGCCUCUCCAUGGUGCUGCAGCUGUCCCUCCGCUGAUACCUUCAUCUCAGCAUAAGCCAGAAGCUCUGCCUUCAAACACCAAACCACUGCCUCCACCCCCAACUCAAACCGAAGAAGAGGAAGAUCCAGCAAUGAAGCCACAGUCUGUACUCACCAGAGUUAAGAUGUUUGAAAACAAAAGAUCUGCAUCCUUAGAGACCAAGAAGGAUGUAAAUGACACUGGCAGUUUUAAGCCUCCAGAAGUAGCAUCUAAACCUUCAGGUGCUCCCAUCAUUGGUCCCAAACCCACUUCUCAGAAUCAAUUCAGUGAACAUGACAAAACUCUGUACAGGUGAGUGCACUUUGUGCUCUUUGUGGCAUAGAACUAACCAGGAAUUUAACCCUCUUAGUCAAUAAGAAAACCUUU
rnacentral:lncRNA from 1 species